GACGAACGCUGGCGGCGUGCUUAACACAUGCAAGUCGAACGGAAAGACCCUGCUUUUGUGGGGUGCUCGAGUGGCGAACGGGUGAGUAACACGUGAGUAACCUGCCCUUGACUUUGGGAUAACUUCAGGAAACUGGGGCUAAUACCGGAUAGGAGCUCCUGCUGCAUGGUGGGGGUUGGAAAGUUUCGGCGGUUGGGGAUGGACUCGCGGCUUAUCAGCUUGUUGGUGGGGUAGUGGCUUACCAAGGCUUUGACGGGUAGCCGGCCUGAGAGGGUGACCGGCCACAUUGGGACUGAGAUACGGCCCAGACUCCUACGGGAGGCAGCAGUGGGGAAUAUUGCACAAUGGGCGGAAGCCAGAUGCAGCAACGCCGCGUGCGGGAUGACGGCCUUCGGGUUGUAAACCGCUUUCGCCUGUGACGAAGCGUGAGUGACGGUAAUGGGUAAAGAAGCACCGGCUAACUACGUG
rnacentral:rRNA from 1 species